UAUAUUUUAGUAUAUGAUGUACAAAAGCUUUUGAUGCUUCAAGAGACAGUUUAAUUCUGUUAAAUAUAA
rnacentral:tRNA from 1 species